AGAAGGGAGCUGCUGUCUGCGGAGGAAACUGCAUCGACGGACGGCCGCCCAGCUACGGGAGGACCUGGGGUGGCACUGGGCGCCCGACGGACCAUCCCCGGGACCCGCCUGCCCCUCGGCGCCCCGCCCCGCCGGGCCGCUCCCCGUCGGGUUCCCCAGCCGCAGCCUUACCUACGGGCUCCUGACUCCGCACGGCUUCCAGAAGAUGCUCGAACCACCGGCCGGGGCCUCGGGGCAGCAGUGAGGGAGGCGUCCAGCCCCUCACUCAGCUCUUCUCCUCCUGUGCCAGGGGCUCCCCGGGGGAUGAGCAUGGUGGUUUUCCCUCGGAGCCCCCUGGCUCGGGACGUCUGAGAAGAUGCCGGUCAUGAGGCUGUUCCCUUGCUUCCUGCAGCUCCUGGCCGGGCUGGCGCUGCCUGCUGUGCCCCCCCAGCAGUGGGCCUUGUCUGCUGGGAACAGCUCGUCAGAGGUGGAAGUGGUGCCCUUCCAGGAAGUGUGGGGUCGCAGCUACUGCCGGGCGCUGGAGAGGCUGGUGGACAUCGUGUCUGAGUACCCCAGCGAGGUGGAGCACAUAUUCAGCCCAUCCUGUGUCUCCCUGCUGCGCUGCACCGGCUGCUGCGGCGAUGAGAACCUGCACUGUGUGCCAGUGGAGACAGCCAAUGUCACCAUGCAGCUCCUAAAGAUCCGCUCUGGGGACCGGCCCUCCUACGUGGAGCUGACAUUCUCUCAGCACGUUCGCUGCGAGUGCCGGUAGGUCUCCGGGGUGGGGUGGGUAGCAGGGAAAGGCCCCCAUCCUCUUGGCAGCCUCAGCAAAGAUGGGUCCCAGGGCAGAGGCAAAGGCUGCCCAUUCCCGCUGCAGGCUGCACUUUCUUCCAGACUGAGGGAGACCAAGAGGGCAGGAUCAGGGGUGGCUACCAUUCAUUUUGUCCCCCCACCAGCCAGUUUUGCCGAGGGAGCUGGUCCCAGCAGCUGGGGUACAGCGGUUGAGAUACUGCAAGAGAAGAGAGAGGGUGGGUCCCUCCCAGCCUCACAGGGGUUCGGUGCGUGUCGUUCCCCUUCUCUGGGAUGGGAGGCAGCUGCCACGGGCCUCUGAAAGAGGUGCCUGGAGGCAAAGACAUUGCAAGUCUG
rnacentral:sRNA from 1 species